rnacentral:lncRNA from 1 species
GCUGAAGCCUCAAUUUGGUGCCCAACUCAUAAACAAGCCAAGCUUGAACAUUUUGGGUAUAAAGAAAUAAAUGUUUGGCAUUGAUUUCAAAAAGACUCGAUCAUCUUAUAUAUCAAUUCAAUGGGCUACGGCUAAUCAUACCCCUGUCCAUAUCAUAAUGCUAUGCCCAUUUAAUUGGCGAGAGUCAAGUAUCCGACUACUGCUACAGAUUUUUAAGUGCCCUUG